CAUUCUCAAUNAACUACUUCC
rnacentral:tRNA from 1 species